UACUGCUGCACAAUUCCCUCUAGGCACACUCAGAAAAUUUUCAGGAUCCUACAUGAAAUCUUUUUUUCUAAAUAGUAAUUUCAUUAAAAUACGUGCUGCAACUGAAGUUGUGAGUGAGAAAAAGUGCAGUGAAGGAACAAGGCAAGAAAAUGGAGUUUUAGAAACUACACAGUAAACGACUGCUGAUAAAUUGCUGAAUCCUGAUAGUUAAAAAGUUCUCAAAAAAAUAUCUGUUGAAUGAAUGAGUAAAUGGAGCAAAAAAGCUAACUUCUGGGUGCCACAGAAAGAGAGUCCAUGUUAUUGUUGACAUCCUUGUAAAGAAUGCAAAGUUGUCUGAGCACUUCAGCAAUGGUUUCUGCAAGCAAUGUGCAAAUUUGGAGACAGCCUUCCCUGUUCUUCUGAGCAGGCCUGGGAUGACCUCUGCCUGUUUUCAACCAUUAUUGAUGCGCAAUUUAUGAGAGGAUGAUGUGGCAAAAUGAUUUGAAAAUUGGAAGUGAUUUACUGCACAACUUAAAUAUUUUGUCUUAUCAUUACAGCAACUCUAUAAGGUGAGUACACUGGGAAGGAUAAAUUUUAUUAAAAUAAAUAGAAGGAAAGACGAAGUUUUGCCUUCUUGGGGAGAGGCAUGGCUCAGCUCUGUUUAGAUAAAAAAUGAUCUUGGACCUUGGACAUUUUGAUGGAAAAAGGUUGGGCUUGCUGGGCACCAUUUGAAGGACUGUGGCUAAAUACAGAGGGUACUACAUUUUUCUACAUGCUACAUGUUGUGAGGGAUUUUGAAUCUUACUGGGAAGCAUGGAAGAAAAGGGACUCAUGG
rnacentral:lncRNA from 1 species